rnacentral:misc_RNA from 1 species
GAAAUGCGAUAACUAGUGUGAAUUGCAGAAUUCCGUGAAUCAUCGAGUCUUUGAACGCACAUUGCGCCCCCUGGUAUUCCGGGGGGCAUGCCUGUCCGAGCGUCAUUGCUGCCCAUCAAGCACGGCUUGUGUGUUGGGUCGUCGUCCCCUCUCCGGGGGGGACGGGCCCCAAAGGCAGCGGCGGCACCGCGUCCGAUCCUCGAGCGUAUGGGGCUUUGUCACCCGCUCUGUAGGCCCGGCCGGCGCUUGCCGAAUGCAAAUCAAUCUUUUUCCAGGUUGACCUCGGAUCAGGUAGGGAUACCCGCUGAACUUAAGC